GCCUAUCUAGUAUAAAGGCAGAAUCCUAGCGAGCCAUGCUAGGGGUAUCGGUUCGAGUCCGAUGAUAGGCUCCA
rnacentral:tRNA from 1 species